CCUUUUUUCGUGAAGCCCUCUCCAUUUACGCUCUCUACAACUCCUUUUCCUUAACUCUUCUUCCCUGGCUUGCUUUCAUCCUCAUAACUUUUCCCAGUAGUACUUCUUAAAAGUAAUAUUUUUUAGGGUAUCACUUGAUCGAAUCCCUUCUCUUGAACCUUUCGUCAGCUCGGAUAAUCCAGUUCUUGGAUACUUGAAUUUCCUUCUCCCUUUAAUCGAACCUAAGGUUGAUCACCUUCGAUUAAGUGUUUCCCAUCUAUUGAUUCGAGGUGGUUACCCAUGCGUUCCUCGGCUACUUAUCCCCAGCGUUUUGUACAACAUGGGUCGGAACGAUAACGGGUCAGACUUUGACGGUAUGGGCGAAUCAUACUUGGCCCGCUGGCGGUCAACUUUCUCGUCCGUUGACGAAGGUCGUGCCAGGGGAAACUACUUCAUCCCCUUGUCAGUGGACCUUCGGUUUGACGAAGCUGAGGAUGAAGCGAUUGUCCGAGCCAAGGAACAUGAGGUCUGCCUCUAUGAGGUAAUGUUCAAGACUGGGCUCUGAUUGCCUUUCCCGAGGGUCGUUCGGGAGUUGUUGAGUUACCUGAAUCUGGCGCCUCACCAGAUAAUUCUGAACGGUUGGAGAUGAUCCUUCUGACCAUUCGGGAAUUUCUUACUGUUUACUGACUUGCCAAGAACCCAUACUCUGACAUUGUUUUCACCUUUCAACUUCGGGAGAAAGUGAAGAUGAUCCACUUGGGCGCCACUUUCUCGAACAAUAAGAAGUGGAAGAAUAAUUUCUUCUUUGCUUUGGGAGAUUGGGAGUUCUAUACUUCCGAGGCCGUGAGAAGUCCGAGUGUUCCUCAGGAAACUAGUAUACCUUCUGUCGAAGAGCAAAAACAUCCAACUUGACCGACGAGGAGGAAGACCGAGUAUAGAGGAUCUUGGCCUUUGCUCGAACGAAGAAGAAUGAUAGUCAACUAGAUUUUGACUUCUUGGCCACUGACUCUAAGUUGGAGAAGUAUUUGGGGUACCCUUCAUUGUUUGACCAGGAAAGGCCACUCAGGUGCAGAAGAGAACUGACACCGUGGCUACAACGAAGGCAGCUGCUAAGCCUUUGAAAAGAACCACUGCUGAGAAGGGCAAAGGCAAAGCUACCAAUGCUCCCCUACGAGCUUCCGUGCAGGCUUUGAACUUGGAGCCUGCUGUAUCCAAGUUGAAUUUAGGCCCUCCCGGGGAGAUUGAAAAGCUCGAGAAGCAUAAGGAACGAGUUGCUGAAGAACUCAAGGAGCCCUUCCUCAAGAGGAAGGAGUCCGGGAUCGCUCGGACAAUCUGAAGCCAACCGACCCCUGAAGCAUCUUUGCCCAAGUUAUGGGGGAAUCAAUGGAGUCUUUCCCUGUUCCAAAGCAUUGGACAGUCGAGCACUUUGAAACUACUUACGGGAUUUAGCCGAUUCCCAACAAGCCGUAGAAGGUUCAGUUGAUUACUACUCGGCCGAUUACCACGGUCCCUGGUGAACCAAUGACUCCCUCUUCUUCUGAUUCAAAGGAGGAUUCUCAAAUGGAUGUGGAGCUCAUCCUUGAGCAGGUUUCUGCUCAAAGUGCUAGGAGCCCUAGGGUAGUCCCUGUUCAGCCGAUUGUAAUCGGUAGCGAUGCUGGUGACACCCAAACUCCGGAGGAAAAGACUUCUAAAUUCGAAAAUCUCUCGUAUGUCCAAGAACAAACUGCCCCGGAGGAUCCUUCACCAAAUGUUCCGGAGGUUAAUGAGGUCAUUUUUUUGAAGGUUCCCCGGUCUUCACCUUCUCGCACCAACACCAAGCCUACCUCUGGUUUGCACUGAGAGGUUGAGAAUGCUGACGAGGCUCCUCGUUAGACCGAGGCGAGUACCUCCCAAGAAACAUGUCGAUCUAGCCAAGCUUACCGAUUGAACCUCCUUAACCAACGGGCACCUCAGCUGGUAGAGGGUUUCCUACGAGCUGGUCAAUUGGUGUGCCCAUUUCUGAGUUGGGCAAGGGACUUCUAGGGAACCCAUUGAAUGCUCUGAUCGACCUCGUUCCUUGAGGUUAGUCUGUGGGUGUCGGUAGAAGGAGUCCUGAAAGAGUGGUGGACCUUAUGUUAUUCUACCAGUUGGUGAAUGUUAAGAAAUCAGUCUGCAUCUAUUGCGACUUUAGGGACCAUCUCUUGGGCAGUGCUUCUGAGACAGAGGAGGUAAAAAGAAAACUUUAGGAGUCCGAGGCUGAGAAUGCUCGGUUAAGGGGACUCAUGGCCAAGCAAGAACAAGAGUUGCUUCUCUUAGGACAGAGGCAGUCGUUAUUGUAGUCCAAGGCCACCAAGGAUAGUUCUCGGAUUCGGUGCCUUGAGGCCGAGGCGGAGGCCCUCAGAAAAAAUUAAGAAGACCUUUAGGUGGAUCACUCGGUCAUUCGGGGGGAGCUUAGGCAGCUUGAAGAGAGUUUUACUGAAGUUGAGCUAGAGCAUGAGGAUUCUCAGGCUAGUGAGGCUUUAAAAGGUGCAGGGUGAAGCCUUGGCUCAAUCCUUGAAGGCCGAGGAAUCCGCUACGAAAUAGAAGGUUGAUGUGGCUAAGGCAUCCGAGGCCAAGAAAAGUUUACGCAUAUGAAGAGAAAGUUCAACCAUUAUAAGACCAAGGCCCAGACCUACUUCAGACAACUUUCCAAUGCUGCUUGGAUCCAAGACUACGCCUAGGCCCUAGGAUUCGUUUGGGGCUUCGAGACUUUUCGGAACUUGGCUUUGAAUCAUUCGACUCACAUCAACAUCAUAAGAUUUCUCCUACUACUUUUCCUGUUGAAGGUGAAGCAAUAGAAGAAGUCACCCGUUUGGGUCAGAGAGAGAUGCUUGAUGCUCGGGGUAUCUCUGAGUUUGGUUCUAGACCAAGGGCCGAUGAAUCCUCGGCAAACAAUGUAACCUUGGGAAUGUUGUGCUAAAU